AACCUUAUGGACCUGCGGGCGUAUACCUGCGGAAGGAUCAUUACUGUGUUAGGGUAGUCACUCACUGCCCGACCUCCCAACCCUGUGUCUACCAUACUUUGUCGUUGCUUCGGCGGACCGGUUGACCAACUGGUCGUGACCGCCGGGGGCUGGCUCUGUCACCCCUGGAGAGCGUCCGCCGAUGGCCCAACCACAAAACUCUUGUACCGAAACGUGUCGUCUGAAUUAUAUUUGAGAAAU
rnacentral:misc_RNA from 1 species